rnacentral:rRNA from 1 species
GACGAACGCUGGCGGCGUGCUUAACACAUGCAAGUCGAACGGAAAGGCCCUGCUUUUGUGGGGUGCUCGAGUGGCGAACGGGUGAGUAACACGUGAGUAACCUGCCCUUGACUUUGGGAUAACUUCAGGAAACUGGGGCUAAUACCGGAUAGGAGCUCCUGCUGCAUGGUGGGGGUUGGAAAGUUUCGGCGGUUGGGGAUGGACUCGCGGCUUAUCAGCUUGUUGGUGGGGUAGUGGCUUACCAAGGCUUUGACGGGUAGCCGGCCUGAGAGGGUGACCGGCCACAUUGGGACUGAGAUACGGCCCAGACUCCUACGGGAGGCAGCAGUGGGGAAUAUUGCGCAAUGGGCGGAAGCCUGAUGCAGCAACGCCGCGUGCGGGAUGACGGCCUUCGGGUUGUAAACCGCUUUCGCCUGUGACGAAGCGUGAGUGACGGUAAUGUGUAAAGAAGCACCGGCUAACUACGUG